UGGCGCCUGUCAUGGGGCUCCUGGCAUGAAGGGCUCAACGAGGGAGCCAUCCUGAGACAUGCGCAUAAAAGUGAAACUAAGAGUUUUGUGACCAAUGCUAUGUGGGAGCCUGCCACACCACUAGAGUCACGAUAAGUGGACAGCGAUCCUUUCCCCUUUUUUUCCCCCGGCAUGGGUCAGGCAUUAAGUGAUCACAAAUGCUUUGUGUCAGGUUUAAGUAAAGCUUUAAAGACAAGAGGGAUAAAGGCUAAAGAAAAAGAUUUAUUGCAGUACUUUCAAUUUAUUCAUAAGGUUUGCCCUG
rfam:Cavia porcellus supercont2_3 genomic scaffold, whole genome shotgun sequence.